rnacentral:rRNA from 1 species
UUGGAGGGCAAGUCUGGUGCCAGCAGCCGCGGUAAUUCCAGCUCCAAUAGCGUAUAUUAAAGUUGUUGCAGUUAAAAAGCUCGUAGUUGAAUUUCGGAAUCAAUUUGUUGGUCGUGCCUCGGUACGUACUGGUAUUAUUGGUUUCUACCUUCUGAAGAACCUUGAUGUCAUUAAUUUGGUGUCUUGGGGAAUCAGGACUGUUACUUUGAAAAAAUUAGAGUGUUUAAAGCAAGCUAACGCUUGAAUACAUUAGCAUGGAAUAAUGAAAUAGGACGUUCGAUCCUAUUUUGUUGGUUUCUAGGAUUGACGUAAUGAUUAAUAGGGAUAGUUGGGGGCAUUAGUAUUCAAUUGUCAGAGGUGAAAUUCUUGGAUUUAUUGAAGACUAACUACUGCGAAAGCAUUUGCCAAGGAUGUUUUCAUUAAUCAAGAACGAAAGUUAGGGGAUCGAAGACGAUCAGAUACCGUCGUAGUCUUAACCAUAAACUAUGCCGACUAGGGAUCGGAUGAUGUUAAUUUUUUAAUGACUCAUUCGGCGCCUUACGGGAAACCAAAGUGUUUGGGAWUC